CUCUCUUCCUCCCUCUCCUGGCUGCUGCGAGUAUUACGGAAGGCUUUGCUGAGCUGCAGAGUUCCUGCACACCUGCAGCCACUCAUUCUCAUCAGUCUCAGCGCUAGAGCCUAAGAGGAGCUUGCUGUGUGUCAUUUGGCGCCUGGGUGUCAACGUUUGUGAGUUCUCUCCUGGAUUCCUUCCCCUGCGUGAAGUAACAAGACUCCCUGUUUAAGCUCCCUGGUUUAAUAACUUCUCGGAUCACUGCUCCCAUGACCAGCAACCAUAAGGCUUCACUCACUUGCUCCAGUUUCUACCUGCCUGCUCUCCAACGGACAUCAACCAUCUGCACGCCAACCUCUCUCACGAACAGACUCCGCUGGCCUCUUCAUACGCCUCCUACAUGGUCUAGACCUCCCACGGCUCCAUUUUAACCUUCCAUGAUCCCUGGGAGUUUAGCCAGGGCUCAGAGCACCUAAAUACAUGUUGGAAAAUCGGACUGCACCACCAACUCCUGCUGGAGAGGGCGAAUUUGUAUUUUCUUUAGUUAAAGUAGCUCUCUUGUAUUUGACUAAAGCUUUGUAUUUAAAGUUUAGUGGUUUUCAUUUCUUUCUUUAGUGUUCAAUUUAGCAACCUCUUUUAUGAGCUCCGUUGUCAUUUUUGCAUUUAACUUUUUUGGGUUAAAAUAAAAAAAACAAUUUUUCUAAUAA